UUAUUUUUUUUUUUACUUAAGAAGGAGGAAGGAAUAAAUGACACCAAUUUCUGUAAUGGAAAGAAAAAAAGAAAAAAAGUGUAUAUCGGAAACUGCUGCUGAGUGACUCAUGCUGCCAGACAAACGGAACCUCACUCAUCACUCCAUCUUCAUCCUCCUCUGGUUACUUCUCCUUCCACCUGGAGAUGCCUUGAGUUUGACUGUGCAUGGCGUGAAAAUAGCCAUGAAGAGGCUCUGCACUGGCAUGUGGAGGACCAGUGCCUGGCUAGUGCUGCCAAAGAUGAAGCUAUUCAGAAGAACAAGCAGCGUGUGA
rnacentral:lncRNA from 1 species